AUUGACAGUUACGUAUUUACCACGUGACUUCCCCCACUAAAAUGUUUCAGCUGUUAAUUUGAGAGCGGCUAACAGCGGCCACAUUAAAUAUGUUGUAACUUUAAAAGAAGUUGACGAAGUAAGAAUAUUAUUAUUAAAAUGGUUGUAGGAGUAACUAUUGCAACAAACAAGCAACAUACCGACACUACAACUUCAGAGGCGCCGAAUAAUCGAGAAGAGCCCAGUUGACGUUUAUUGAUGGCGAGGCACCCAGCUUGAUCUCGUUGGUUAUUAUAGCAAGCAGAAAACAGAAGAGUCAUCCAUCUGCGGUAGACAACGGAACUGAACCGAGCCUCAUGAUAGUCUGUAACCGUCUCCACCAGCACGCCGUUCGACGGGCUGCUGGUGACCGGCCUGUACACCUCCACGCCCGUCCAGUCGGCUCCCAUCCCGGCCCCCGCCGCCUUCGGCUUCGGCGUGUUGCCGGAGCGCCAGUUUGGG